rnacentral:tRNA from 1 species
GGAGGUAUGGCUCAGUGGUAGAGCAAUCGGCUGCAGUCCCAUAGGUCACUAGUUCGAUCCUGGUUGCCUCCU